GGACUACCCGGGUAUCUAAUCCCGUUCGCUCCCCUGGCUUUCGCGCCUCAGCGUCAGAAGAGGUCCAGCAGGUCGCUUUCGCCACCGGCGUUCCUUCCGAUAUCUACGCAUUUCACCGCUCCACCGGAAGUUCCACCUGCCCCUACCUCACUCAAGACCCCCAGUAUCCAAGGCACGUUUCCGGUUGAGCCGAAAGAUUUCACCCCGGACUUGGGAAUCCGCCUACGCGCCCUUUAAGCCCAGUGAAUCCGAACAACGUUCGCACGGUUCGUCUUACCGCGGCUGCUGGCAC
rnacentral:rRNA from 1 species